UCUAGAUAGUAAUGGCCUGGGCUCAGAGCCCAGGACACCCCAUGGAAAUCAGUAGACAAGUGACAAGGACCUAGCCAAGCUCGUCCAUUUUCAGUCCCCUCUCCCCUGUGGUGCUGGCUGUUUCCAGGAAGCUGUUGGUCAGCCGUGGAGCCUGAGGUUGCCUUUAUCUUGGGUCUCAGCUAAGAUGAUAACUGGCAAUUCUCCCACAAAUCAGAUUCCUUGAAGGCCAGCCGCUCUCCAGGAAUCCUCCAGGACUCCAUCGUCAGAUUGGGACUGCUGAGACAGCCAGCCUCGUGGACUGAACAACUACCUGAUUUCUCUGCUUCUCCAGUGUGAGGCAACAUGAUUGAGCUACCCAGACUGCAUCCUGCAAGCCAGUCUAAUAAAGCCCUGUUGACUA